AUAUGACAAACUUUUAUCUUUGUUUUUGUUACCUCAAUGAAGCUGGUUUUGUUUAUCACAGUAGUGAAAGUCCAGCUUAUUUUUUUUUAAGUCAGAGGAAUAACGUAAUGUUGAUAGCUAUAAAUUGACUUAGCACUUAGUUUCUCUGUGUUGUAGCACUGUGGCUUUGAUGUGACAAGUGAAAUGCCCAAAUAAUCUCAGAAUUCCAAAAACUGGCCAGGAUAUCAACAGGACUGCCUGUGCCUCACAUGUAAGAAGUAACAGUCCAGGAUCCCAAAACAGAUGUCAUGACAUAAUUACACAAAAGUCACACUUCAUAUUUCAGUUUAAAGCAGAAAGAUGCACUUUGGAGCUCAAAAGUAACACAGCUGCUUUAAAACUCACAUGGUCUGUCGUGUCAACAAUUUCAGCUAGCCUUCCAGGAGUCACCACACCAAGUCACGUGCAGAACCCGUUGGUUACGUUGGGGGUGCUGUUGGUAAGUGCACUGGCAUCUAGCAACACCUGUGCGGAGGAGGCAUGGUCUGAGUGGGAAAAUCGGGAGCCCUGGGUUGCUUCUGAGGAAGGACAAGAGCAAGCAAUAGGAGACAUCCCUUGGCUGAUUAUGAGGAAGGACAAGAGGACAAUUUCUCAGAAGUGGGCAUCAAGCCUGAUGCCAAGAUCCACAGAUGUUGGAUUAUGCUUGAAUAUCUCAUGCUUAUCUGAGUGAUUCUGAACUACAGCUGGCAAAAUUAAGAAUCCCAGAUGAUCCAGAUAAUUAUGCUGACAAUGCAAUCACCAUUGACCCCAAUGAGAUUCCCACAGAGAUACGCUUCAGUUCAAGGUUAGAAUACUUUAAUAAUAAAGGGGAUGUGUUAUAUUUUCUGUUUAGUAGCUUGAGCACUUGGCAGUCAGUGUUUUAUGUAAAUGUAAUACAAUAAAAUAAUCAGUAUCAAGUAGAAUUGUGCUUGUAGAUGAGGGGAUCCCUUUUAUGAUUGUUUUUCUUUCAAGGGGAGCAUGGUAAAGGAAUAAGCAUUUGUCACACUAUUAUAGCUGAUUUUCAUGUGCAAAUCUAGUUGAUGUCAA